UACGAAGGGGGCUAGCGUUGCUCGGAAUUACUGGGCGUAAAGGGCGCGUAGGCGGGUGCUUAAGUCAGAGGUCAAAUCCCAGAGCUCAACUCUGGAACUGCCUUUGAUACUGGACACCUAGAGUACGGGAGAGGUGUGUGGAACUCCGAGUGUAGAGGUGAAAUUCGUAGAUAUUCGGAAGAACACCAGUGGCGAAGGCGACACACUGGCCCGUUACUGACGCUGAGGCGCGAAAGCGUGGGGAGCAAACAGG
rnacentral:rRNA from 1 species